UGAAUCCAGGAUUUGAGAUAGUCUUUGGGAUCCUCAGAUGCUCACGUUCUUCCUGAUGGAGAUGGUUACAACAGCCUAGAGCACUCCUCUGAAGAGAUAUCCAUACUGGUAAAGAUAACUCAUUUUGGGAGAAGUCAACUGUCAUAGCAUGUCAUGAAGAUACUCAUGCAGUCUUAUGGAGAAGUUCAUUGGUGAGAAACUGAGCUGGAAUAAACUUGACAGCCAUGUGACUGAGCCAUCUUAGAAGCAGAUCUUCAGCCUCAGACAACUUUCAAAGAAUCGUAGACCUAGCUGAGAUAUCAACCACAAUCUCAUGAAAGAAUCUCAUGAUUCUGAACCAGAAUCAUCCAGUCAAGCUGCUCCCAAAUU